ensembl:misc_RNA Y_RNA Y RNA
AGCUGGUGCUAUAAGAAAAAAGUCAUACUAAUUGAUCACAGCCAGUUACAGAUUCCUUUGUUCCUUCUCCACUGCCACUGCUUCACUUGACCAGCCUUUA